rnacentral:lncRNA from 1 species
GUCCAAUAAAACCUAUGCGACUGACAUAAAGAUCAUAAAACACUUCCAUACACCAAAUAUAGUUGACCUAUUGCAUAUAGUAUUAGAAAAAAAGACCAAAACUCAAAAAGUUGACUUUAACCACUGAACCAUGAACAUGAGGUCAAGGUCAGAUGACACCUGGCAGCUAGACAUGUACACCUUACAAUCAUGCCAUACACCAAAUAUAGUAGAUCUAUUGCAUACAGUAUAAGAAAAA